AAUAAAUGUAGAUUAAAUAUAGAAGAAAUUAAAUGAUAAAUCAUUAAAUUUAAAAGAUUUGGCAGUAUUUAAGAUUUAGAGGAACCUGUAUAGUAAUUGAUAAUCCACGAUAAGAAGUACUUAAUUUUAAAGUUUAUGUAUUGCUGUUUUUAGUAUUUAAUUAAGUUAGAUAGAUAUAAUUUAUAAGAUUUAAAUAAAUAAAAUAAUUCAAGUCAAAAUAUAGUUUAAUUAAGAUUAAUAUGGGUUACAAUUAAUUUAAUUAUUGGAUUAAAAAAUUUAAUUUUUUUAUGAAAUAGGAUUUAAAAGUAAAUUUAAUUAAUUAAUUAAAUUGAAUAUUAAUUUAAAUAUGU
rnacentral:rRNA from 1 species